CAGGACGAACGCUGGCGGCGUGCCUAAUACAUGCAAGUCGAGCGGACAGAUGGGAGCUUGCUCCCUGAUGUUAGCGGCGGACGGGUGAGUAACACGUGGGUAACCUGCCUGUAAGACUGGGAUAACUCCGGGAAACCGGGGCUAAUACCGGAUGGUUGUUUGAACCGCAUGGUUCAAACAUAAAAGGUGGCUUCGGCUACCACUUACAGAUGGACCCGCGGCGCAUUAGCUAGUUGGUGAGGUAACGGCUCACCAAGGCAACGAUGCGUAGCCGACCUGAGAGGGUGAUCGGCCACACUGGGACUGAGACACGGCCCAGACUCCUACGGGAGGCAGCAGUAGGGAAUCUUCCGCAAUGGACGAAAGUCUGACGGAGCAACGCCGCGUGAGUGAUGAAGGUUUUCGGAUCGUAAAGCUCUGUUGUUAGGGAAGAACAAGUACCGUUCGAAUAGGGCGGUACCUUGACGGUACCUAACCAGAAAGCCACGGCUAACUACGUGCCAGCAGCCGCGGUAAUACGUAGGUGGCAAGCGUUGUCCGGAAUUAUUGGGCGUAAAGGGCUCGCAGGCGGUUUCUUAAGUCUGAUGUGAAAGCCCCCGGCUCAACCGGGGAGGGUCAUUGGAAACUGGGGAACUUGAGUGCAGAAGAGGAGAGUGGAAUUCCACGUGUAGCGGUGAAAUGCGUAGAGAUGUGGAGGAACACCAGUGGCGAAGGCGACUCUCUGGUCUGUAACUGACGCUGAGGAGCGAAAGCGUGGGGAGCGAACAGGAUUAGAUACCCUGGUAGUCCACGCCGUAAACGAUGAGUGCUAAGUGU
rnacentral:rRNA from 1 species